UACGGGGGGGGGCAAGCGUUGUUCGGAAUUACUGGGCGUAAAGGGCUCGUAGGCGGCCAACUAAGUCAUACGUGAAAUCCCUCGGCUUAACCGGGGAACUGCGUCUGAUACUGGAUGGCUUGAGAUUGGGAGAGGGAUGCGGAAUUCCAGGUGUAGCGGUGAAAUGCGUAGAUAUCUGGAGGAACACCGGUGGCGAAGGCGGCAUCCUGGACCGGUUCUGACGCUAAAAAGCGAAAGCUAGGGUAGCAAACAGG
rnacentral:rRNA from 1 species